GAGCUAUGAUGAGAAUUAAGAUAGUCAUGCACCACUCUGAUUUUCGUGCUGAGAUAUUUCUUUAUAACCCAUAUUUAUCUCUGAGCUC
rfam:Beta vulgaris subsp. vulgaris Bvchr1.sca004.con0042.1, whole genome shotgun sequence.